rnacentral:rRNA from 1 species
GUCAACGGCCAUACCAUGUUGAAUACACCGGUUCUCGUCCGAUCACCGAAGUUAAGCAACAUCGGGCGUGGUUAGUACCUGGAUGGGUGACCGCCUGGGAACACCGCGUGCUGUUGGCA